AGGGUCUCAAAUUUAGAAAACCAACUUAUGCUUGCUUAAGGGUAAAGGUGAGUUGGGGUGCUGCAUAAAACCAGAGAUUGAAAUGGGCACAGAUAAAGUUCCUUAAGCCAAAUAUGGAAUAGACAAGAGCUACUCCUUGCUCAACGAAAUGGACUCAACACCCCAUAUUAAACACCUAAGAAUGUACCUGACUAGUAAGUAUCUUAAAACCUAUGGAUUGCUA